rnacentral:tRNA from 1 species
AAAAAAAUAAGCUAAUAAAGCUAAAGGGUUCAUACCCCUUCUAUAGAGGUCAUAAUCCUUUUUUUUUUA